rnacentral:rRNA from 1 species
UACGUAGGGGGCGAGCGUUGUCCGGAGUUACUGGGCGUAAAGCGCUUGUAGGCGGUCCACCAAGUUUGGGGUGACAGUUGCCGACUUAAUCGGCAAAGUGCCUCAAAGACUGGCGGACUUGAGGGCCACAGAGGGACAUGGAACUCCAGGUGUAGUGGUGAAAUGCGUAGAUAUCUGGAAGAACACCAAUGGUGAAAACAACUUGCUGGGGGUGUGCUGACGCUGAGACACGAAAGCCAGGGGAGCAAACGGG